GGACUGGAGUCUGCAACCCGACUCCACGAAGCUGGAUUCGCUAGUAAUCGCGCAUCAGCCACGGCGCGGUGAAUACGUUCCCGGGCCUUGUACACACCGCCCGUCAAGCCAUGGGAGCCGGGGGUACCUGAAGUGCGUAACCGCGAGGAGCGCCCUAGGGUAAAACUGGUGACUGGGGCUAAGUCGUAACAAGGUAGC
rnacentral:rRNA from 1 species